rnacentral:rRNA from 1 species
AUUGAACGCUGGCGGCAGGCCUAAUACAUGCAAGUCGAGCGAGCGGCGGACGGGUGAGUAAUGUAUGGGGACUGCCUGACCUAGGGGGAUAACUACUGGAAACGUUGGCAACUAUCGCUUACGGUCCGAUAACCCAUAUGGGAUUAGCUAGUCGGUAAGGUAAUGGCUUACCUAGGCGACGAUCCCUAGCUGGUCUGAGAGGAUGAUCAGCCACACUGGGACUGAGACACGGCCCAGACUCCUACGGAGGCAGCAGUGGGGAAUAUUGCACAAUGGGCGCAAGCCUGAUGCAGCCAUGCCGCGUGUAUGAAGAAGGCCCUAGGGUUGUAAAGUACUUUCAGUCGGGAGGCGUUACCGACAGAAGAAGCACCGGCUAACUCCGUGCCAGCAGCCGCGGUAAUAC